rnacentral:rRNA from 1 species
GAUGAACGCUGGCGGCGUGCCUAAUACAUGCAAGUCGAGCGAACGGACGAGAAGCUUGCUUCUCUGAUGUUAGCGGCGGACGGGUGAGUAACACGUGGAUAACCUACCUAUAAGACUGGGAUAACUUCGGGAAACCGGAGCUAAUACCGGAUAAUAUUUUGAACCGCAUGGUUCAAAAGUGAAAGACGGUCUUGCUGUCACUUAUAGAUGGAUCCGCGCUGCAUUAGCUAGUUGGUAAGGUAACGGCUUACCAAGGCAACGAUGCAUAGCCGACCUGAGAGGGUGGCCGGCAACACUGGAACAGAGACAGGGUCGAGACUCCUGGGGGGGGCAGCGGAGGGGAUUCUUCCGGAAGGGGGGAAGGCCGAACGGAGCACCGCGGCGUGAGUGAUGAGGGUCUCAGGAUCAAAAAACUCUGUAUUGAGGAAAGAAAAUAUGUGUAAGUACCUGGCCACAUUUGGACGGUACCUAAACAGAAAGCCACGGCUAACUCCGGG